rnacentral:lncRNA from 1 species
CUUGCUGGAACAUUCAGAUACUGGAGUAAUUCAGUACGUACAUUACACUGCUCAAUGACAAAUAUAUAUCUGAUGAAAUUUGUGCUACAAGUAAGUUUCUGUUACUACUAAUUUCGAGAAUCACAAACAUUUUCCUGAAAAUGCAAAGCCACAACAAAGUAGUUCAAUGCAAUCAGCAAUCAUAUUAGCAACAGCAUCAGAUCAGCAACAGGCCUCUUAAAUCUUAAUCCUCUAUUUUGUGUUGGAGGGAGAUCAUCAUCAAUUCCCCAGGCAGUUCUCUUCCCAAACCACAGCAAUUAUCAUAUCAUGAGCAAUUCAAGUUUAACCCUGCAAAGGAUGGCAUGGUUGACAUUAGCAAUUACAUAUCAGGAUUUGAUAAAGAAAAAAAAGGAGAGUGAGCUCUACUUUGCUAAAAUGAAUUAAACUCCAAAAAAUAUUCAGCUACUGAGUAGCUUACUCACUAGAGUUUUUUUUUAGUGUGUUGCUGCAUAAACAUGAGACAGAAAAGGAACGCUAUAAUGCGAAAACACAUGUAUUUUUUAAGCCAUGUGAUAAACAACUACCGCAAAUUAACAUGGCAGAAACCAAUCUGACCAAAUUAAAUAUGGAGCUCUUGAAUCCUGCAAUUUUAAGUGAUAAACAGAUGAAGUAAGCAGAUUCAUCUCCAUCAUCAAAAAGUGGCUAACGAGCAGUUUUUGUUUGGAGAACAACUGUGGACAGUUGCAUCACCUCCUGCUCAGAGUUCAAACAACCAUCUCAUUGAGCAGGCCUGACCACCACAAUGGUUUUCAUUUUUGUUCAGAAUAUAGUAAUGACACCAGGAAGUAAGUAGCAAUGGCCCUAUAAUACAUAACAAUUCAGACCACCUCAACGAUUAACGUUUUAUUUAGAAUCUAUUACUGAAACUAGAAAUUCUCUAAGAUGUUAGGUGACUCGGUCCACACUGCCCAACAAUUGCAAAACUUAUCUGAAACUUAUAAGAAUCCAGACCACUUAAACGUUUCCACGAAGGCAUGAAAAGAAAUAGUACUAUUCCUACUAUGUAAUACUCAAUGACAAACUUAUCCUAAUGAUUAGGAUUUUAUAAAAACUUCUACCAGCUUUCUGUUUAAAAUGACAGAAUUGGGAGCUUUCCACUGUCCAAGAAUUGAAUUCUGACCACUGAUUGGUAUCUUUCAUUUAGGAAAAUAGAAAAACUAUGUUAUGAAUAAAAUUUUCAUAUACAUGUUCUAAAAGUAAAAAAACAAAAAAUAAACUAUAAUAAAAAACAUAAACAGAGAUGAAGUUGUCUUCUACUUUUCAACUUCGAGAGGUUUCAGACUUAUGAGUUGUGUGAUGGACAACAAGCUGGCGAGCUGCCGGCCUGGUCAGGUCCCGUCCACCAUUAAUGAUCACCAUUGAUGAUAAUUGAAGAAAAAACAUAGGUUGCCAACUUAUAUGCUUACCAAAUCAAGAACAGGAUCAUAAACCUAGGUCACAACACUAACCAAAACCCUAGGAAAAAAUGAGGAGAAGAAGAACGUGCUGACCUCAUAUCUCGAAGAGGAAGGCGUGGAGGAGGAGGAGGGCGCCACUUGUGAAGGUCGCGGGGGAGACUCGUUGCCGGCGGCGAGGGGGGAGAGAGAGGGGGAAGAGGUGAUGGCGGCAACCUCAUGAGAGCUGGAGGCGGAGCCAAGACGAAGGCAUAUGCGGAGGUGGCGGUGAUGGUCUCAUGAGAGCAGGAGGCGGAGUGGCAGCAUCGUGAGAGGCGGAGGCGGAGGCGAUGACAGCUCCUCGCACGGGAAAAUGCGAGGGGA